UACGGGAGGCAGCAGUGGGGAAUUUUGGACAAUGGGCGCAAGCCUGAUCCAGCCAUGCCGCGUGCGGGAAGAAGGCCUUCGGGUUGUAAACCGCUUUUGUCAGGGAAGAAAAAGGUUCUGGUUAAUACCUGGGACUCAUGACGGUACCUGAAGAAUAAGCACCGGCUAACUACGUGCCAGCAGCCGCGGUAAUACGUAGGGUGCAAGCGUUAAUCGGAAUUACUGGGCGUAAAAGCGUGCGCAGGCGGUUAUGCAAAGACAGAGGUGAAAAUCCCCCGGGGCUCAACCCUGGGGAACUGCCUUUUGUGACUGCAUGGCUAGAGUACGGUAGAGGGGGAUGGAAUUCCGCGUGUAGCAGUGAAAUGCGUAGAUAUGCGGAGGAACACCGGAUGGCGAAGGCAAUCCCCUGGGACCUGUAACUGACGCUCAUGCACGAAAGCGUGGGGAGCAAAACAGGAUUAGAUACC
rnacentral:rRNA from 1 species